UAUUCUUAACACCGAAUAAACAGUGUUCUAAAAGAUUGAAAAUCUAAUGUGCUAAUUACACCAUAAGAAC
rnacentral:tRNA from 1 species